UGAUUUUUUUCUUAGUCAAACUUUUUUAAGUUCGACCAAGUUUAUAGAAAAAUAUAGCAACAUUUUUAACGCAAAACAAACAUAUUAUCAAAAUAUAUUCAAUGUUAUAUCUAAUGAAACUAAUUUGGUGUUGUAGAUGAUGCUAAAUUUUUGUAUAAACUUGGUCAAACCUAAAAAAAGUUUGAUUAAGAAAAAAGUCAA
rfam:Oryza glaberrima chromosome 2 Oglab02_0361_3, whole genome shotgun sequence.